UUCGGGAUAAGGAUUGGCUCUAAGGACUGGGCCGGUCGGGCUGUAAUGUGAAGUGAGUACGGUUUGAUCCAUGCAGUGUAACAUUAAUGAAUCAUGUAUUCAUUGAUGAAACUCGGCUAGUGUUCGAACUGUCUUAUGGACCGUUACAGCUGCGUAUCACAUUUACUUUUAACCAAAGUGAAUGUUUAUUUGAUACUUCGGCCGGCGUUAAACAGUCAACUUAGAACUGGCACGGACUCGGGGAAUCCGACUGUCUAAUUAAAACAGAGGAGACAGAUGGCCCUUGCGGGCGUUGACUGUCUCUGAUUUCUGCCCAGUGCUCUGAAUGUAAAAGUGAAGAAAUUCAACCAAGCGCGGGUAAACGGCGGGAGUAACUAUGACUCUCUUAAGGUAGCCAAAUGCCUCGUCAUCUAAU
rnacentral:rRNA from 1 species